ensembl:miRNA Mir3583 microRNA 3583
CACUAAUGGUGAGCAUGAAGAGUUCAGAUCACGUUCAUGAAGUGCUGAUGAACCUGACUUCUCUCUUCAUGCAGUUGUCUAUCUUGGUGC